GAAAUGAUCCCAUUGUGCCUUCUUCCUCAGGAACCUCCACCUUAUAUAUUCCAAUGGGUAGUCACACUGCAGUGUUUAAGGUGGAGGUCCUGAGGAAGAAAACACAAGGUUCAGUUC
rnacentral:pre_miRNA from 1 species